GGCGGACAACUAGAGUCGCCGGAAAACGAGAGCUCAAGAAGGAGACUGAGGGUAGCAGUAGUCCGGCAGUGGGAUUGAAGGGUCCUGAUCUUCAGCAGCCGACAUUUCCUUAUUUCAGCAUUUACUCUUUGAUUUUUCAGCAGCAAGAACGGUUGUGGAACUUGAGGUCUUUGACGCGAGACGAGUAUCUCGAUUAUCGGAUUGGACCAUUUCU